rnacentral:lncRNA from 1 species
AAAAGAGUAUCAAAUUUGGGGCUAAUUUUGUUUGGUCUUAAUUGAAAAGGCCCAAUUUCAGAUAGCCCAAAAUAUUGAGUCCAUAGCCAUUUCCCAUUUGACCUAACCUAAUCCCCAACCCUUAUAAAAUACUAACACUUAACUCCUAAAUUGAGGGGGAUAAUGCCUAUACACACCCAUAGCCUACAACAGCCGCUGCCCUUGGACGACUUUCUAUCGUGUCUGCCUCAUUCCCUUUCUCGCCGGCCAGCUGCCGGACUUGACAACCGGCGAGUUUGGUCGUCCACCACACCCCUUUCUUGAACCCUAGACCCUAGGAAACAAAACCAGCGACAUACCUGAGCAGUGAAACCCACCCCUGUUUUCCAACGUCUUCACCAGUCCCAUCCCCAAGAGUCAUACACACACAACCACACCUCCGAGAGCAAGAAUCAGAAAAAUAUUCACCAUAAAGUAUCCAGAUUUCGGCCAUUCCAAGAUCGCUUAUCUGAACGUUGGUUUUGUUAUAUAAAAGUAUUCCAUCUCAAGAGCCAUAUGAACACAACAAUUAUACUAUUUUGAAGCUAAUGAACGCUCAUUUCAACAAUAUGAGUUAUCUAAAAUUCAAGUUUUUUUGGAAGUUAGUUCAAUAAGAAAAUCUGGACCGAAAAGAAUUAAACAAAAAUGAAGGUUGUUUCAUUUGGUUUUGGUUUCCGGAUGGAGUGAAGGUGAAACGGGUUUUUGAUCGUGGGAUUUGCUGUUCGAGGUUGCCGAAGGUCGUUGUCCGAGGUCCCUGUUCAGUCGUCCGUCCAAGAUUUUGGUCUUAGAUAUUUUCAGGUUCAAAUUAGCUUUUGAGGUCCAUUUCUUACCUUGAAUUUUAAAAUUUUUUUUCUGUGUUUUGUUUCUUUGAUAACUAUGGCUGCCAUAUGAUGGUUUAUGCCUAGUUUGAUUUGUUGUGCCUAGUUUGAAUUCGGUGUUUUAUUUGGAAUGGGAACGAAUUAGUUAGCUGAUUUUGAUUUGGAUAUUACGGAAAUAUACGCGUGCUAUGAUUUGGUAUUCUUAUACGUUCUCACAGUAGGCUCAAUUCAGAAUUAAGUGGUAGCUAUCGUGAAUAUGAAGUGAUCCAAUAGUGAAAAAUUGUUGCUUGAUUUGAGACUUAGUAAUUCAGCCGGUAAACCAUUUGACCCCAUGUGUUAGUAAUUAUAGUGCACCUUAUUCUACUCUAUGAUUCCUUGGUAUGGUUACGAUAUAUAAAUCUCAAUCCGGGUGUGCAUUUCAUGUGACCCGACCAUAAAUAAUAAUAAUAAAAAAUAAAUAUGUUGCAAACUUGGGUGUGCAUUUAUGUGACCCAAAUCCAACUCUCAACAAUGUUAGAUAAAAUAUGUCGGAGACCGUGGGUGCAUUUAUGUGACGUGGUUCAAGACGUGUUUUAAAUAAUAUUGAAAUCUUCCUAAAAAAUAACUAAAUAAAAGCGGUUAUAAAGUUAAAAUUGCACCAUGGGCUGAAACAUGUACUAAAAUCAAGUAAAUAGGCCAAUAUAAUAGUUGAGCGACCGUGCUAGUACCACGAAACUCGGGAAUGCCUAACACCUUCUCCCGGGUUAAAAAAAUUCCUUACUCGGAUUUCUGGUUCGCGGAAUGUUAAAUAGAGUCAAUCUUUUCCUCGAUUUGAGAUUUGAACCGGUGACUUGGGACACCAUAAAAUUAUCCCAAGUGUCAACUCUGAAUUUUUAAUAAAAUAAUUCCGUUUCGAUUGUCACUUAAAUUGGAAAAAACUCCUUUAUACCCUCUCUUCCGGGGGUGCAGGAAAAAGGAGGUGUAACACUUGUAUCUUCUCAUUAAUCCAUCAUGUCCCGCUAUUUUGGAUCGUCACGCUUAGAUCGUGACAUUGGUAAUGGCGGAAUUGCCUAGUAUUGAGUGGAGAGGUUCUCUAGACUAUAUUCCCAGUAGAGUGAUUCAUAUUUGAAGGCCCAACGGAUGGUUGGGAAGGGAUGACUGACAUAUUUGGCCUUUGUGAGGGAUGUUGUUAUUCAUACUCAUACUAUUAAGUCUGUUACGAUAAAGAGAGACAUUCCGGAUAUAUUUCAUCCGGACCUGCCAAGCAUUCCACCCGACAGGGACAUUGAUUUUGGUAUUGACUUGGUGCCGGGCACUCAACCCAUCUCUAUUCCUCUGUAUCGUAUGGCACUAACAGAGUUGAAAGAAUUGAAAGAACAACUUCAGGAACUACUUGAUAAAGGUUUCAUCAGGCCUACUAUGCCACCUUUGGGUGCACCGGUUCUUUUUAUAAAGAAGGAUAAUACUAUGAAGAUGUGCAUUGGUAACAUACAGCUGAACAAAGUUAUAAUAGAACAGGUAUCCUUUACGAUUAAUUGAUGACUUAUUUGACCAGCUUUAGGGUGCUAGAGUGUUCUCUAAGAUUAAUUUGAGAUUAGGGUAUCAUCAGCUAAAGAUUUGAGAUUCUAAUAUUCUAUAAACUUCAUUCAAGACCCGCUACGGUCACUACGAGUUUCUUGUGAUGUCUUUUAGGCUGACUAAUGACCCAACAAUAUUUAUGUAUUUGAUGAACAUUGUAUUCCAUCCAUAUCCUGACUCUUUUGUCAUAGUAUUCAUUGAUGAUAAGCAGCAUCUUAGGAUUGUAGUCCAGACUUUGAGGGAGAAGAAGCUUUAUGCUAAAUUCUCCAAGUGUAAAUUUUUGCUUGAUUUUGUGGCGUUCUUGGGGCACGUGUUGUUCAGUGAGGGGAUCAUGGUGGAUCCGAAGAAGAUUGAGGCAAUUCAGAGUUGGCCCAGACCGUUUCUAGCUACUAAGAUUCGAACUUUUCUUGGUUUGUCCAUUUAUAUUAUCACCGUUUUGUGGUGGGGUUUUCGUCCAUUGCUGCACAUUUGACCAGAUUCACCCAGAAGGGUUCCCUAUUUAGGUGGUCUGAUGAGUGUGAAGAGAGCUUUUAGAAGCUCAACACUGCCUUGACCACAGCUCCACUUCUAGUAUUGCCUUCAUCUUUGGGAUCAUAUACUAUUUAUUAUGAUGCUUCUUAGAUUGGUAUUGGGUGUCGUUCAUGACCUCGAGUUGGCAGCUAUUGUUCAUGCUUUGAAGAUUUUGAGGCAUUAUCUCUACGACGUGUCUUAUGAGAUAUUUACAGAUCAUCGAAGUCUACAAUACUUGUAUAAGAAAAAAGAUCUAAAUUUUAGAUAGUGGAGGUGAUUGGAGCUAUUAAAAGAUAAUGAUAUCACUAUUUUGUAUCAUAUGGGGAAGGCCAAUAUGGUGUCUAAUUCCCUGAGUAGAAAGGCAGAGAGUGUGGGUAGCCUUGCAUAUAUUCCAGUCCGUGAGAGACCGUUAGCAUUGGGUGUUCACGGUUUGUCCAAUUAGUUCGUGAUGUUAGAUGUUUUGGAGCCUAAUUAGAGAGCGUCAACAUGAGGACCCCUAUUUUCUUGUCCUUAAGGACACAGUGCACCAUAGUGAUGCCAAUGAGGUUUCUAUUGGAUAUGAUAGGGUGUUGCGUAUGUAAGGUCGGAUUUGUGUGCCCAAUAUGGAUGGGUAACGUGUGUUGACUCUUGAGGAGACCCACAGUUUGUGGUAUUCCAUUCAUCCGGAUGUUGCAAAAUUGUAUCAGGACUUGAGGCAAUAUUAUUUGUGGAGGACACUGAAGAAAGAUAUAGUGGAGUAUAUGGCUUGAUGCUUAAACUAUCAACAUGUGAAGUACGAGCAUCAGAGGCCAGGUAGUUUGCUUCAGAGACUUGAGAUUCCUGAUUGAAAAUGGGAGCAUAUUACCAUGGACUUCGUUGUUGGGCUCCCAUGGACAUGGAAGAAAUUCGAUGUUGUUUGAGUGAUUGUAGACCGAUUGACUAUGUCAGCGUAUUUAAUUCUAGUUGUGAUCACCUAUUCUUCAGAGCGGCUGGCUCAGAUCUAUAUCUGCGAGAUUGUUACCCUUCAUAGCAAUCCAUUGUCCAUCAUUUCUGUUCGAGGAACGCAUUUCACAUCAUAGUUUUGGAGAGCAGUGCAUCGAGAUUUGGGCACACGGGUUGAGUUUACAAUAUUCCACCCCUAGACGGAUGGACAGAUCAAGCGCACCAUUUAGAUUUUGGAGGAUAUGUUAUGCUCUUGUGUUAUGGUUUUCGAGGGUUCUUGGGAUUAGUUUCUACCACAUGUAGAGUUUUCCUAUAACAAUAGCUACUAAUCGAGUAUUCAGAUGGCUCCUUAUGAGGACUUAUAAGGGAGUCGGUGUCGUUCCCCUAUUGGUUGGUUUGGUCCGGAAGAGGCUAGGUGGUUAGGUACCGAUUUGGUUCAGGAUGCCUUAGAGAAAGUCAAGUUGAUUCAAGACCGGCUUCGUAUAGCACAGUCUAGACAUAAGGGCUACGCUGAUCGAAAAGUUCAUGAUAUUGCCUAUAUGGCGAGAGAGAAGGUAUUGCUCAGAGUUUCACACAUGAAGGGUGUAAUGAGGUUCAUGAAGAAAGGAAAAUUGAGCCCUCGGUAUAUCGGCACUUUUGAGGUUCUUGAUAGGAUUAGAGAGGGUGCCUACAAGCUUACAUUGCCACCUACUCAAUCGGGUGUUCACCCAGUGUUUCAUGUUUCUAUGCUCCAGGAGCAUUAUGGUGAUCUGUUUCAUGUUUUAGACUUCAACACAAUGCAAUUAGAUGGAAACUUGACUUAUGAUGUGGAGCCGACGACCAUUUUGGAUCGACAUGUUUGAAAUUUAAGAUUAAAGGAUAUAGCUUUAGUGAAGGUUUAGUAGAGAGGCUAGCAAGUCGAUGAGGCUACUUGACAGACCAAGCAGGAAAUGUAGAGUAGAUAUCCACAACUAUUUGAGAUUCCAUUUAUGAUUCUAGAACUGUUCGAGGAUGAACAUUUGUUUAAGAGGGGAGAAUGUGACGACCCGGCCGGUCAUCUUAUGUAUUGUAUCCCUGUUCCCUAGUUUGUUGCUUAUUCUAUGUUCACUUGUGGUUACAUAACUUGCUAGGUGGUUGGUUUAGUUUCGGAGUUGUUUCGGAGUGAAUUGGGACACUUAGUCCCAAAGUUGGAAGCUUAAGUUAACAAAUCUUCGAGCAUCGUUUUCCUCAGCUCGAUCGCGGCCCAUAAGCUCACGAUCGCGAGGUAUGAAUUGUGUUUUUUUCUCUUCACAGACACCCUUAGGUUUAAUGGCCAUAAUGUUUCUUACAAAAUUCCAAAUUAUAAACGGUUUGAUUUUCUGAAAACUUGAUCCAAAGGGCUACAACUUUUAUUUAUGGAUCAUUAUAGAUUGCAAGAUAUAAGCUCUCAAAGUCAAACCAUUGAUAGCAGGAAUUCCUUCUUCGUGAUUAACAUGCCAAGAUUGUUAUCUUGGUGAUGCCAGAGUUUCCUAUAUUGGAGUGGAGGGUUUCAUCUUACAGUACAUCUAGCCAGAUUAUCUCUUUCUUGAAGGCUUGACAUAUGGUCGAAAAGGGUUAUUUGGGCUAUUUGGCUUAUGUUCGGAAUACCGCUGUAGAGACUCCCACAAUUGAUUUAGUGUUUGUGGUGCGGGAGUUCUCCGAUGUACUUAUCUACCAGGCAUGCCACCAGAUCGUGAUAUCGAUUUCUGUAUUGAUUUGGCACCAAGCACCUAUCCUAUCUCUAUUCCACCAUACCCGAUGGCUCCAAAGUAGUUGAGGGAGUUGAAGGAAUAGCUUGAGGAAUUGCUUGCGAAGGGGUUCAUCAGGAUGAAUGUGUCGCCUUGGGGUGCACCUGUAUUUUCUGUUAAGAAGAAGGAUGAGAGUAUGUGGAUGUGCAUGAUUACCUCCAGUUUAACAAAGUAACCAUUAAGAACAAGUACCCAUUUUCGUGCAUUAAUGAUUUGUUUGACCAGUUACAGGGUGACAGGGUGUUCUCUAAGAUCAACUUGAGGUCUGGGUAUCAUCAGUUGAUGAUUCGUGCUUCAAAUGUUCCAAAGACGCAUUUCUGGACUAGAUAUGGGCACUAUGAGUUUCUAGCGAUGUCCUUCGGCUGGACAAACUCCCCGGUGGCGUUCAUGGAUUUGAUGAACCGGGUGUUCAAUCCAUAUCUUGACUCAUUUAUCAUUUUCUUCAUUGAUGACAUACUGAUCUACUCGUGUAGUAUGUAAGAUCAUGAGCAACAUUUGAGAGUUGUGCUUUAGACCUUGCGAGAACAGAAGCUAUAUGCUAAAUUCUCCAAGUGCGAGUUCUAGUGAGAUUUUGUGGCAUUCUUGGGUCAUGUUGUAUCAGAUGAGGGUAUUAAGGUAGAUCCCAGGAAGAUUGAGGCAAUUUAGAGUUGGCCUUGUCCAACCACAGUGACCGAGAUUAGGAGUUUCUUAAGGUUAGCAGGUUAUUAUUGCCAGUUUAUAGAGGGCUUCUCAUCUAUUACAACACCUUUGUGUUGAUACCCAAUUUUCUCUGUAUAUUUUAUAUAUGCAAAAUACUUUCAAAAUAUCAUAUGUAUGCAUAUAUAGGUAUAUCCAAACGUUUCAGUAUUUUUCCUAAUUUUAAAAAGAUUUUUAAAUCGAUUUAUUGCCCUAUUUUAGCAAUACAAAAACUAAUAAUUAUUCCCAAAAUCAUCAUUUGGUGAAUAACUUAUUUUAUUCUCACAUUUAUACCAAAAUAUAGCUAAGGUAAAGUUUUUGCACAUUUUUGUAAAUUUAUUUAGUAUUUUAAAAGUUAAAUUGCAUUUAAUUGCAAUUUUAGCCUAUUUUAAGAUUUAACUAUGCGUAUAAUUAUAAAAUUGGUUCCAGUAUUUUUAAUAUAAUAUCUAUAUAUUAUUAAUUAAUUUAGUACCUUUAAUUUAUUUUCAGAAAUCAUGUUACUAUUUUUUAUAAAAUAAAAAGGAAAAAACUGGCUAUUUAAAAUAUAGCCCCAUUUUGUUUCAAUUAUAGCCCAAAUUGAUCCCCCAAAUAACCAAAUUUCAAAUCCCAAAUUACCCAUCCCAAUUUAAAUUUAACCCGACCCCUGACCCGCUUAUCCGAUCUGCCCGACCCUCUCUUUAAUCCAGGCCGUUGAUCAUUUUGAUCAACGAUCACGAUCAUUUCUUACCUUUUUAAUUCCCCAAUGACUACCCUAAUCCCUUCAUUCUCUUCUAUCAGCCGCCUCUGAAAUCCCUCUCCUCUCAAACUCUCUCGAAACCCUAGCCUCUCUAACUGUCUUCUACCUCAAGCUCACCGGAAUCUAUAGCCUCUCAAGCCAUGGAUGGCCUAAACUCAUCUCCCUCUACUCUCAAACACUUGGUAUUCGAAGGUCCCAGGUCUGGCCUCAAAGGUGUCCGUUCAGAUCUCUAUAGAUCCAAGGUUCUAUGGCCCUUGCUGGUAUUGCUCCGGCGUAUAAUGAUGUUUUGAGCAUGGUUCUAACCUCUCCGACUCAGAUCGAACCUUUUCAAAGCCUUUCUCGUUUUAGGGUUCCUCUGAAACCCUAAGCUAUUCGAGAUUUUCUCUGAUUUUUCUUAGAUCUGUGCUCUACUUGAGUUUUUAAACGUUUUCCCUAAUUUUUCUUUCAAGAGAAUUACUUCUUUCCGAUUUAAGGUUUCUGAAAAAGCUUAAAAUGGUUCUCCGACUCUUCUUUUCCUUUCUUUGUGUGUAUUUGUUACGCAUGUGCUUCUACUGCUUUCUUAAGCUAUACAUGUUCUUCUGUGCUUUGUUGUUAUAACCCAAAUUUUUAUAUAUACGGAUUAACUUAAGAGUUUUAAAAUUUAUUUAAAUGGUUAGCGAACCUAAUUAACUAUUACACAUAUUAAAUUGGAUAAUAAAAUAACUCAGACAAAAUAAAAAUAAAAAUUAAAUAAAUGGGCUGAACUUCACGUAUUUUUCUUAUUAGCCUAUGUACAAAUACCUAAAGUAUAGGAAAAGGAGUUGUUUAGGUCUUACUUAAAAAUUAAAACAAAACAAGGAAUUAGAACAAAGAGAAGCAGAACUCGAAAGCAGCGAAGAAGAAAACCUGGGAAUUAGAAUCAGGUAAUUUGCAUAUAAUUUAGUUUGUAAUGAUUAUAUCAAUCAUUGGGAGACAAUAAUUAAUAAGUACAGAACUAAAUAUGAGAUAUGGAAUUGGAAAUUUGAACGAAGUCUCCAUCACAGUCUUUUGAAAAUCUGUUUGUAAAAUAAUCUGAAACUAUUAUAUGAAUACUAUAUUUAACAAGGAAACGUAGAAGGUAUAACAUUCAAUGAUUAAAGGUAAUUAUGUGAUAACGAUUAGAUUAAAAUGUUAGAUGAUAUUUUUGGCACAAGGCACAAUGGCAGUGUUUCGGCUAUUUGAUUGACAUGUAACUGUGUACUUGUUAUUAUUAAUUGGACCAAGAAUUGAUCUUGAGUUUGGCUAAGAUUAUGAAAUUUUUCUCUAGCCUAAUUAGGACAUGUUAUUCAAUAUUUUUAAUAGCUUUUAGAAACGAAUUUUGAGGAUUUGAAAGGCCAUUUGAACUCCGUUUUUGGUAAACUUUAUAUGUACGGACUCGUGGCGAGGCGAGGAAUCCGAUGAUGUGAUUUUCAGAAUUUUUCGAGAAGUGGGCCUGGGGCUCGGGUUAUACCAACUUCGCGAUUUUCAGUGUUUUUCGAGUAAUUUCAAUUGGGUUAUGUUUAUUUAGCAUAUAGUGACGUAUUCGUUGUGGUUUCGACUAGAUUCGAUGCACGUAGACGGAAAUUCAAAGGGAAAGGGCAUUGCAGACCAGUCUACUACCGGUUAGAGGUGAGUAAUUUGUAUAGACGAUGGCCUGAGGGUUUGAAACCCCGGUUUAUCACAUCGUGACGCUAUGUUAGGGCGUGACUCGCACCCCAUGGCAGGUGCAGGAUCGUAUAUGAUUGGGGAUUGUGACUUGAUCCAUCCCGAGAGCUAAAUAUAAUUAUUGGCGGCUGAUACGCACAUUGUAUUGUUGAUAAUUGGGUUUAUUGCCAUAUUUGAGGCCUUGUGCCGACCUGUAGAGUCCGUCUAGGAUGAAUAUCUUUGUGAUAGCAUGAUUUACAUAAUUAUUGAUCUCAGUCCUGUGUUUAAUCACUGUUAUUAAAUGCUAAGUCACCUUUUUCCUGAAAUUAAUUAACUAAAUUAUAUUCACCUUAAUAAUUGGAAACUGAGAAAAAAUUAGAUUGAAUCUGUUAUGUGACUCAUAUGCAUACUGUGGACUGAGUAUGGGUCGGGCUAUACGCCGCAGCAGUGAUAUAAUGAUAUUAUGCUUGGGCUGAAGGAGCCUCUUCGGAGUCUGUACACACCCCCAGUGAGCGCCGUCGACGUUAAACGGAUCGGGCUGUAUGCCGCAGCGGAUUCAUGUGCACUACAUUGCAUCUUUACCUGAUACUUGACUGCUAUAUUUGAUAUUGCUUUUGCUGUUAGUUCGUAGUUAAGGUAUAAGACUGUUAGGUUUAGCUUUGCUUUGUGGCAUUUCGUGGAUUUCCUACCUUCAGACAUUAUAUAUGCUUAUUACUCACUGAGUCGGUAGUACUCACCCCUACUCCCUGCACCAUGUGUGCAAAUUCAAGUACACCGGAGGCUUAGCUGAGCACUCGUAGUCUCCAGCUAUUUUCAGAGUCGUUGAGGUAGCUGCUUGACGUUCGCAGGACCUGGCUACUCUUUAUAUUUCAUUCAGAUAUUAUUAUCCAGUUUUGUUUAGAGGCUCUAGACUCGUGACCCAGAUCUUUGGGGAGUGAUUAUUCAGAUUUCAUAUUAUCUUCGUAAUUAUUCUAUUAAUAUUAUUGGAUUAUUAUUAUUCAGAAAUUAUUACAUUUUUCCUUAAAUUGUCGGUUUGAGAUUUAUUAUCGAAUUGAGAGCUAGUGAUGGUCAGGCUUGCCUAGCUUUAGUGUUGGGCGCCAUCACGAUCGGGUUUGGGUCGUGACAAGUUGGUAUCAGAGCCUAGGUUACUAGGCCUCGCGAGUCUUGAGCCGGUUUAGUAGAGUCUCGCGGAUCGGUACGUAGACGUCCGUAUCUAUCCUCGGGAGGCUACAGAACUUUUAGGAAACACCUCACUUUCUUGAAAUUCAUAUCGUGCGGCUUGUCGCUAUGAAAACUAAAAAUUUCUUUAUUCUAUUCUUUCGCAGAUGGCGAGAACCCGUGCUAACGGACUAGGAGGACGACCACCAGUACCACUUGCUAGAGGCCGUGGACGCGGCCGUGGUGCUGGACGAGGCGGACAAGCAGAGGCAGCACCUGCAGACCCACCAGCUGCCUAGGUCCAGGAUCAGCCUCCAGCUGUGGAUGCUCCAGCAGCACCUAUUCAGGCACCGACAGUGCCCAUCGUGAUUCCUGGUCUCUAGGAGGCUUUGGCUUAGAUUUUGUCUGUCUGCACUGGCCUGGCUCAGGCGGUUUCAGCCACUACAGCAACAGCUACUUCUCAGACCAGGGGUGGUCAUCAGACUCCCGAUGCUCGCACACCCGAGCAGGUUGUUCAGGGCUUACAGACACCUGAGGUAGCUCUAGUUCAGCCAGUUCAGCCAGUUCAGCCAGUUCAGCCAGUUACUCCAGUUGCACCGGUAGUUCCAGUUGCGCCAGUCGCAUCAGCUCCAGCUCAUGUGGUUCCAGCUAUGCCGGAUGACGAGCAACGUUGUUUGGAGAGGUUCGGUAGGCUCCAGCCUCCGACAUUCAGUGGUGCUGAGGGCGAGGAUGCCCAGGGUUUUCUAGAUAAAUGCCAGCGUAUGCUUCAUACUGCGGGUAUUCUGGAGUCUAGCGGAGUGGCUUUCACCACCUUCCAGUUCACAGGGGCUGCAUUUACUUGGUGGGAAGAGUUCGAGAGGCAUAGGCCUAUUGGGGCAGCGCCCCUCACUUGGCAGCAGUUCUCCACGGUAUUUUUGGAGAAGUAUGUGCCCCAGUCUCACAAGGAGGAGCUGCGUCGUCAGUUCGAGUGGUUGACUCAGGGAGAUAUGUCAGUGACUCAGUAUGAGUUGCGGUUUACACAGCUGGCUAGGCAUGCUCUGUGGAUGAUCCCGACAGAUAGAGAGAGGAUCAGGAGGUUUAUAGAUGGCCUCAACUAUCCGAUCCGUAUAUUGAUGACUAGAGAGAGGGCUACAACAGCUACAUUUGAGGAGGUUGUUGAUGCGGCUCGACUGAUUGAGACAGAUCGCCGUCGGGAGCGUAUGGAGAGAGAGGCCAAGAGGCCUCGAGGUUCAGGUAAUUUCAGCGGUGCUCCAUCUAGGGGCCAGUUCCAGCAUGGUAGAGGUUGUUCCUCGAAGCCUCCUCAGUCAGGACGCACAGAGUCCUGUGGAGCCUCUUCAGGCCGGGGCCAUCAGGGUCAUCAACAGAGUCAGCUUGCAUUAAGUGCUCUUCCAGCUUAGAGCUCUACUCCUGCUCCUUCAGCUAAGGGUUCGUCUACAGCGAGGGGUUCUCAUCAGUCCCCUUCUCCAGCUUUAGGUCAUUGUUAUGAGUGCGGUGAGUUGGGUCACAUGAGGAGACAGUGUCCUCGGCUCCGCAGUAGGCAGUCUCAGUAGAGGGAUCAACCCUCGUCUUCUGCUCCGGUUUCUUCGGCUCCCACUCAGUCAGCUAGGAGUGGAGGCCAGGUAGCCAGAGGUCGCCCCAGGGGUGAGGACCGUACUGGCGGUGGUCAGGCUCGUUUCUAUGCCCUUCCAGAUAGGAGGGACGCUAUUGCCUCGGAUGCUGUCAUCACAGGUAUUAUCUCAGUCUGCCACAGGAAUGCUUCUGUUUUAUUUGAUCCCGGAUCUACCUAUUCAUAUGUAUCUUCAUAUUUUGCUCAUUAUUUGGGUACGACCCGUGGUUGUCUUGCCUUGCCCGUGCACGUAUCUACCCCGCUGGGUGAUACUAUUAUUGUGGAUCAUGUAUAUCGAUCCUGUCUGGUGACUAUCAAGGGUCUAGAGACCCGAGUUGACUUAUUAUUAUUGGGCAUGGUAGAUUUUGAUGUGAUUCUGGGUAUGGAUUGGCUAUCUCCGUACCAUGCUAUUCUGGACUGUCAUGCCAAGACAGUUACGUUAGCUAUUCCGGGUAUUCCUAGGAUCGAGUGGCGAGGCAUGACUGAAUAUGUACCCAGUAUGGUGAUUUCUUUCCUAAAAGCCCAACGGAUGGUUGGAAAGGGUUGUUUAUCGUAUUUGGCUUUCGUGAGAGAUGUGGAAGCCGAGGCUCCUAGUCUUGAUUCGGUUCCCGUUGUAAGGGAUUUCCCCGAUGUGUUUCCAGCGGACUUGCCAGGCAUGCCGCCAGACAGGGACAUUGAUUUCAGUAUUGAUCUGGUGUCGGGCACUCAUCCUAUCUCUAUUCCUCCCUAUCGUAUGGCACCAGUGGAGCUAAAGGAGUUGAAAGAACAGCUUCAGGAACUCCUAGAUAAGGGGUUCAUUCGCCCGAGUGUCUCACCGUGGGGUGCACCGGUAUUAUUUGUAAAGAAGAAGGAUGGCACAAUGAGAAUGUGCAUUGACUACAGAUACCUGAAUAAGGUGACAGUGAAGAACAAGUACCCACUACCCCGUAUUGAGGAUUUGUUUGAUCAGCUUCAGGGAGCAAGGGUAUUCUCUAAGAUUGACCUUCGAUCGGGCUAUCACCAGCUGAAGAUUAGUGAUUUAGACAUUAUGAAGACGGCCUUCAGGAUGAGAUAUAGGCACUACGAGUUUCUAGUGAUGUCUUUCGGGCUGACUAAUGCCCCAGCCACGUUCAUGCACUUGAUGAACAGUGUAUUUCGGUCUUAUCUGGAUUCUUUUGUGAUCGUGUUUAUUGACGAUAUUCUAGUGUAUUCGCGUAGCCAAGAGGAGCACACGCAACACUUGAGGGUGGUAUUGCAGAGAUUGAGAGAGGAGAAGCUUUAUGCAAAGUUCUCCAAAUGUGAAUUCUGUCUUAGUACUGUGGCUUUUCUAGGACAUGUGGUGUCCAGCGAUGGUAUUCAGGUUGACCCAAAGAAGAUUGAGGCAGUGCAAAGUUGGCCCAGACCGUCCUCAGCUACUGAGAUUCGAAGUUUCCUCGGUUUGGCAGGUUAUUACCGCAGGUUCGUUUAGGGCUUUUCAUCCAUUGCUUCGCCUUUGACGAAGUUGACACAGAAAAAUGCUCCAUUUGUGUGGUCGGAUGAAUGUGAUGAGAGCUUCCAGAAGCUCAAGUCGGCUUUGACCACAGCUCCGGUACUACUAUUGCCAUCAGCUUCAGGUUCUUACAUGGUGUAUUGUGAUGCUUCGAGAGUUGGGAUCGGUUGUGUAUUGAUGCAGGAGGGUAGAGUGAUUGCUUAUGCUUCUCGUAAGCUCAAGCCCCAUGAGAAUAAUUACCCUGUUCAUGACUUAGAGUUAGCUGCAAUUUUUCAUUCCUUGAAGAUUUGGAGGCAUUAUCUUUAUGGUGUGUCUUGUGAGGUAUAUACGGACCAUCGCAGUCUUCAACACUUGUUUAAACAGAAGGAUCUUAAUCUGAGACAGCGGAGAUGGCUUGAGUUACUCAAAGACUAUGAUAUUACCAUUUUGUAUCAUCCCGGGAAGGCCAAUGUGGUGGCCGAUGCUUUGAGCUGGAAGGCUAUUAGUAUGGGUAGUUUGGCGUACAUUCCAGUUAGGGAGAGGCCCCUUGCGGUUGAUGUUCAGGCCUUGGCCAAUCAGAUGGUGAGGUUAGAUAUUUCCGAGCCCAGUCGGGUGUUGGCUAGUGUGGUUUCCCGAUCUUCUUUGUAUGACCGCAUCAGAGAGUGCCAGUAUGAUGAACUGCAUUUGCUUGUCCUGAAGGACAGGGUCCAACAUGAUGAUGCCAUUGAUGUGACCAUUGGUGAUGAUGGUGUGUUGCGGAUGCAUGGCCGGAUUUGCGUGCCCAAUAUGGAUGGUCUCCAGGAGUUGAUAUUAGAAGAGGCUCACAGCUCGCGGUAUUCGAUCCAUCCGGGUGCCGCGAAGAUGUACCAGGAUUUGAGACAACAUUACUGGUGGAGGAGGAUGAAAAAGGAUAUUGUGAGUUAUGUGGCUCGGUGUCUCAACUGUCAACAAGUCAAACAUGAGCACCAGAGACCCGGUGGCAUACUCCAGCGGAUGGAUAUUCCGGAGUGGAAAUGGGAGAAUAUUACUAUAGAUUUUGUGAGUGGUCUUCCUCGUACCUCGAAGAAGUUUGAUUCGAUUUGGGUGAUUGUGGAUAGGCUGACCAAGUCCGCGCACUUCAUUCCAGUAUGUACUACUUAUUCUGCGGAGAAGUUAGCAGAGAUUUUCAUCUGGGAGAUUGUACGGUUGCAUGGGGUCCCGGUUUCCAUUGUAUCAGAUAGGGGUACCGUGUUUACUUCCUAGUUCUGGAGGACUUUUCAUCGAGAGUUGGGUACACAGGUACAGUUGAGCACAACAUUUCAUCCACAGACGGACGGGCAAUCCAAGCGUACUAUCCAGAUAUUGGAGAACAUGUUGCGUGUCUGUACUAUUGAUUUUGGAGGUUCUUGGGCUGAAUUCUUGCCACUUGCGGAGUUUGCAUAUAAUAACAGCUAUCAAUCCAGCAUCCAGAUGGCGCCGUAUGAGGCCUUAUAUGGGAGACGGUGUAGAUCUCCGGUUGGUUGGUUUGAGCCCGACGAGGCUAGAUUAUUGGGGACAGAGUUAGUUCAGGAUGCUUUAGAGAAGGUAAAAGUGAUCCAGGAGAGACUUCGUACAGCUCAGUCGCGACAGAAGAGUUAUGUGGACCGGAAGGUUCGAGAUGUAUCUUAUGCUGUGGGCAAGAAGGUCUUGUUAAAGGUUUCGCCUAUGAAAGGCGUUAUGAGGUUUGGGAAGAUAGGGAAGCAGAGUCCAAGGUUCAUUGCACCUUUUGAGAUACUUAGGAGGAUUGGGGAGGUGUCCUAUAUGCUCGCUUUGCCACCUAGCUUGUCAGGAGUUCAUCCGGUAUUCCAUGUUUCUAUGCUCCGGAAGUAUGCUGGGGACCCGUCGCAUGUAUUAGACUUCAGCACGAUUCAGUUGGAUGAGGACUUGACCUAUGAUGUGGAGCCGGUGGCCAUUUUGGGUCGUCAGGUUCGGAAGUUGAGAUCAAAGGACAUAGCUUCGGUGAAGAUGCAGUGGAGAGGUCGGCCCGUGGAGGAAGCCACUUGGGAGACCGAGCAGGAGAUGCGCAGCAAAUAUCCUCACUUGUUUGAUACUCCAGGUAUGUUUCUUGACUCGUUCGAGGACGAACGCUUGAUAAGUGGAGGAUAAUGUAAUAACCCAAAUUUUUAUAUAUACGGAUUAACUGAAGAGUUUUAAAAUUUAUUUAAAUGGUUAGUGAACCUAAUUAACUAUUACACAUAUUAAGUUGGAUAAUAAAAUAACUGAGAAAAAAUAAAAAUAAAAAUUAAAUAAAUGGGCUGAACUUCACGUAUUUUCCUUAUUAGCCUAUGUACAAAUACCUAAAGUAUAGGAAAAGGAGUUAUUUAGGUCUUACUUAAAAAUUAAAACAAAACAAGGAAUUAGAACAAAGAGAAGCAGAACUCGAAAGCGGCGAAGAAGAAAACCUGGGAAUUAGAAUCAGGUAAUUUGCAUAUAAUUUAGUUUGUAAUGAUUAUAUCAAUCAUUGGGAGACAAUAAUUAAUAAGUACAGAACUAAAGAUGAGAUAUGGAAUUGGAAAUUUGAACGAAGUCUCCAUCACAGUCUUUUGAAAAUCUGUUUGUAAAAUAAUCUGAAACUAUUAUAUGAAAUUUGUACUAUAUUUAAGAAGGAAACGUAGAAGGUAUACCAUUACAUGAUUAAAGGUAAUUAUGUGAUAAUGAUUAGAUUAAAAUGUUAGAUGGUAUUUUUGGCACAAGGCACAGUGGCAGUGUUUCGGCUAUUUGAUUGACAUGUAACUGUGUACUUGUUAUUAUUAAUUGGACCAAGAAUUGAUCUUGAGUUUGCCUAAGAUUAUGAAAUUUUUCUCUAGCCUAAUUAGGACAUGUUAUUCAAUAUUUUUAAUAGCUUUUAGAAACGAAUUUUGGGGAUUUGAAAGACCAUUUGAACUCCGUUUUUGGUAAACUUUAUAUUUACGGACUCGUGGCGAGACGAGGAUCCGAUGAUGUGAUUUUCAAAAUUUUUCGAGAAGUGGGCCCGGGUUUUACCAACUUCGCGAUUUUCAGUGUUUUUCGAGUAAUUGCAAUUGGGUUAUGUUUAUUUAGCCUAUAGUGACGUAUUCGUUGUGGUUUCGACUAGAUUCGACGCGCGUAGACGGAGAUUCAAAGGGAAAGGGCAUUGCAGACCAGUCUACGACCGGUUAGAGGUGAGUAAUUUCUAUAGACGAUGGCUUGAGGGUUUAAAACCUCGGUUUAUCACAUCGUGAUGCUAUGUUAGGGCGUGACUCGCACCCUAUGGCAGGUGCGGGAUCGUAUAUGAUUGGGGAUUGUGACUUGGUCCAUCCCGAGAGCUAAAUAUAUUUAUUGGCGGUUGAUACGCACAUUGUAUUGUUGAUAAUUGGGCUUAUUGCCAUGUUUGGGGCCUUGUGCCGACCUGUAGCAUCCGUUUAGGAUGAAUAUCUUUGUGAUAGUAUGAUUUGCAUAAUCAUUGAUCUCAGUCCUGUGUUUAAUCAUUGUUAUUAAAUGCUAAGUCACCUUUUUCCUGAAAUUAAUUAACUAAAUUAUAUUCACCUUAAUAAUUGGAAACUGGGAAAAAAUUAGAUUGAAUCUGUUAUGUGACUCAUAUGCAUACUGUGGACUGAGUAUGGGUCGGGCUGCACGCCGCAACAGUGAUAUAAUGAUAUUGCGCUUGGGCUGAAGGAGCCCCUCCGGAGUCUGUACACACCCCUAGUGAGCGCCAUCGACGUUAAACGGAUCGGGCUGUACGCCGCAGCGGAUUCAUGUGCACUGCAUUGCAUCUUUACCUGAUACUUUACUGCUAUAUUUGAUAUUGCUUUGCUGUUAGUUCGUAGUUAAGGUAUAGGACUGUUAGUUUUAGCUUUGUUUUGUGGCAUUUCGUGGAUUUCCUACCUUCAGACAUUAUAUAUGCUUAUUACUCACUGAGUCGGUAGUACUCACCCCUACUCCCUGCACCUUGUGUGCAGAUUCAGGUACACCGGAGGCUUAGCUGAGCACUUGUAGUCUCCAGCUAUUUUCAGAGUCGUUGAGGUAAUUGCUUGACGUUCGCAGGACCUGGCUACUCUUUAUAUUUCAUUCAGAUAUUAUUAUCCAGUUUUGUUUAGAGGCUCUAGACUCGUGACCCAGAUCUUUGG